rnacentral:rRNA from 1 species
GUGGGGAAUAUUGGGCAAUGGGCGAAAGCCUGACCCAGCAACGCCGCGUGAAGGAAGAAGGUUUUCGGAUUGUAAACUUCUGUCCUCAGGGAAGAAGAAAGUGACGGUACCUGAGGAGGAAGCCCCGGCUAACUACGUGCCAGCAGCCGCGGUAAUACGUAGGGGGCGAGCGUUGUCCGGAAUGACUGGGCGUAAAGGGCGCGUAGACGGCUGUCUAAGUCUGGAGUGAAAGUCCUGCUUUCAAGGUGGGAAUUGCUUUGGAGACUGGAUGGCUUGAGUGCGGAAGAGGUAAGUGGAAUUCCCAGUGUAGCGGUGAAAUGCGUAGAGAUUGGGAGGAACACCAGUGGCGAAGGCGACUUACUGGGCCGUAACUGACGUUGAUGCGCGAAAGCGUGGGGAGCGAACAGGAUUAGAUACCCCAGUAGUCC